UCAGGAUGAACGCUGGCGGCGUGCCUAACACAUGCAGGUCGAGCGGAGAUAGGUGAAGCCUAGCGAUUCCUAUCUUAGCGGCGGAUGGGUGAGUAACACGUGGGUAACCUGCCCUGUACUGGGGGAUAACAGCUGGAAACGGCUGUUAAUACCGCAUAUGCGCACGGAGCCGCAUGGCCCUGGGCGGAAAGAUUCAUCGGUACAGGAUGGGCCCGCGCCGGAUUAACUUGUUGGCGGGGUAACGGCCCACCAAGGUGAUGAUCCGUAGCCGACCUGAGAGGGUGACCGGCCACAUUGGGACUGAGACACGGCCCAAACUCCUACGGGAGGCAGCAGUGGGGGAUAUUGCACAAUGGGGGAAACCCUGAUGCAGCGACGCCGCGUGAAGGAAGAAGUAUUUCGGUAUGUAAACUUCUAUCAGCGGGGAAGAAGAUGACGGUACCCGCACAAGAAGCCCCGGCUAACUACGUGCCAGCCGCCGC
rnacentral:rRNA from 1 species